rnacentral:ncRNA from 1 species
AACGGGGAAGCCGAAAACCGUACAGAGUAGGCA